rnacentral:rRNA from 1 species
UGGGGAAUAUUGCACAAUGGGGGAAACCCUGAUGCAGCGACGCCGCGUGAGCGAUGAAGGCUUUCGAGUCGUAAAGCUCUGUCCUAUGGGAAGAUAAUGACGGUACCAUAGAAGAAAGCCCCGGCUAAUUACGUGCCAGCAUCCGCGGUAAUACGUAGGUGGCGAGCGUUAUCCGGAUUUACUGGGCGUAAAGGGCGUGUAGGCGGCUAGAUAAGUGUGAUGUUUAAAUCCAAGGCUUAACCUUGGGGUUCAUUACAAACUGUUUAGCUUGAGUGCUGGAGAGGAUAGUGGAAUUCCCAGUGUAGCGGUGAAAUGAGUAGAUAUUGGGAGGAACACCAGUAGCGAAGGCGGCUUUCUGGACUGCAACUGACACUGAGGCACGAAAGCGUGGGUAGCAAACAGG